rnacentral:rRNA from 1 species
UGCUGUGAGCUCGAUGAGUAGGGCGGGACACGUGGUAUCCUGUCUGAAUAUGGGGGGACCAUCCUCCAAGGCUAAAUACUCCUGACUGACCGAUAGUGAACCAGUACCGUGAGGGAAAGGCGAAAAGAACCCCGGCGAGGGGAGUGAAAAAGAACCUGAAACCGUGUACGUACAAGCAGUGGGAGCACCCUUUGGGGUGUGACUGCGUACCUUUUGUAUAAUGGGUCAGCGACUUAUAUUCUGUAGCAAGGUUAACCGUAUAGGGGAGCCGGAGGGAAACCGAGUCUUAACCGGGCGUUAAGUUGCAGGGUAUAGACCCGAAACCCGGUGAUCUAGCCAUGGGCAGGUUGAAGGUUGGGUAACACUAACUGGAGGACCGAACCGACUAAUGUUGAAAAAUUAGCGGAUGACCUGUGGCUGGGGGUGAAAGGCCAAUCAAACCGGGAGAUAGCUGGUUCUCCCCGAAAGCUAUUUAGGUAGCGCCUCGUGAAUUCAUCUCCGGGGGUAGAGCACUGUUUCGGCUAGGGGGCCAUCCCGGCUUACCAACCCGAUGCAAACUGCGAAUACCGGAGAAUGUUAUCACGGGAGACACACGGCGGGUGCUAACGUCCGUCGUGAAGAGGGAAACAACCCAGACCGCCAGCUAAGGUCCCAAAGUCAUGGUUAAGUGGGAAACGAUGUGGGAAGGCCCAGACAGCCAGGAUGUUGGCUUAGAAGCAGCCAUCAUUUAAAGAAAGCGUAAUAGCUCACUGGUCGAGUCGGCCUGCGCGGAAGAUGUAACGGGGCUAAACCAUGCACCGAAGCUGCGGCAGCGAC